GACGAACGCUGGCGGCGUGCUUAACACAUGCAAGUCGAACGGUGAAGCGCUUUCCUUUUUGGUUGGUGUGGAUGAGUGGCGAACGGGUGAGUAACACGUGAGUAACCUGCCCCCUUCUUCUGGAUAACCGCAUGAAAGUGUGGCUAAUACGGGAUAUUCUGCGCCUGCUGCAUGGUGGGUGUGGGAAAGAUUGUGCCUUUGGGUGUUUUCGGUGGGGGAUGGGCUCGCGGCCUAUCAGCUUGUUGGUGGGGUGAUGGCCUACCAAGGCGGUGACGGGUAGCCGACCUGAGAGGGUGGACGGUCACACUGGGACUGAGACACGGCCCAGACUCCUACGGGAGGCAGCAGUGGGGAAUAUUGCACAAUGGGCGCAAGCCUGAUGCAGCGACGCCGCGUGAGGGAUGGAGGCCUUCGGGUUGUGAACCUCUUUCGCCAGUGAAGCAGGCCUGCUCCUUGUGGGUGGGUUGACGGUAGCUGGAUAAGAAGCGCCGGCUAACUACGUG
rnacentral:rRNA from 1 species